rnacentral:rRNA from 1 species
GUGGGGAAUAUUGGACAAUGGGGGCUACCCUGAUCCAGCCAUGCCGCGUGAGUGAUGACGGCCUUCGGGUUGUAAAGCUCUUUUACAUGGGAAGAUAAUGACGGUACCAUGAGAAUAAGCACCGGCAAACUUCGUGCCAGCAGCCGCGGUAAUACGAAGGGUGCAAGCGUUGUUCGGAAUUACUGGGUGUAAAGGGCGUGUAGGCGGAUUAGUUAGUUAGUGGUGAAAUCCUUGGGCUCAACCUGAGAACUGCCAUUGAUACAGCUAGUCUGGAGUAUUAGAGAGGAUGACGGAAUAUCCAGUGUAGAGGUGAAAUUCGUAGAUAUUGGAUAGAACACCGGUGGCGAAGGCGGUCAUCUGGCUAAUUACUGACGCUGAGGCGCGAGAGCGUGGGGAGCAAACAGGAUUAGAAACCCCAGUAGUCC